rnacentral:tRNA from 4 species
GAUCCGGUAGCUCAGUUGGUUAGAGCAGCGGCCUCUUAAGCCGAAGCGCGUGGGUUCGAGUCCCACCCGGAACAC